rnacentral:rRNA from 1 species
AACGAACGCUGGCGGCGUGGAUAAGACAUGCAAGUCGAACGGGAGUUUGUUUAUAGCAAUAUGGACGAACUCUAGUGGCGAAAGGGUGCGUAACACGUAGCUACCUACCUCGAAGUUGGGGAUAGCUCGGCGAAAGCCGGAUUAAUACCGAAUGUGAUCGUGAGAUCAAAGCUGGGGAUCGUAAGACCUGGCGCUUUGAGAUGGGGCUGCGGCCUAUCAGCUAG